AGGCAACCCUAUACCUCCACGAAGAACACGGUGUUCUCCAAUUCACAAGGAUAUGGUGGCACCUAAAUUUUACCGGAUCCUUGAGCAUAAAGAAAUAAGUCACAAAAAAUGGCACCAAAACGGAUAAAUUCAGAAAUAUAAGACUCAGAUUUUAUGAAAAAUAGAAAAGACAAAAGUAACAAAAGCUCGUUUGGUAUUGAAUUUUGAAAUCCAAAAUCUUGUAAUGUUAGAAUUUUAUACCUCG
rnacentral:lncRNA from 1 species